UGGAGGCUGACACACCUGUGCUCACAAUAAGAAGACUGAAAAGCUGAAAAGAAACAACUCUUCUUAGACCUAUCAGAGAACUGAGGUCACAGGACCCUACCCUGAAAACUGAGAGAUCAAGAAAGAAAGCCACAGCUGACCUGGACCAGAGGCCCCUGGAGUGUUUACUGUCAGACACAUUUGCAAGGUUAAGGAACUCUUUUGGUAGAAGAUAAUGAAGCCCAGGAGUUGUACUACACUCCAGGAAUUCUGGACCAUCACAAGCACCACCAAAAAAGAAAGUUAAGGGCCUGGGAUUUAGCUCAGUGGUUCCAGUGCUUGCCUCACAAGUGCAAGGUCCCGAGUUCGAUCCCGGGUACCAGAAAAAUUAAAAAAAAAAAAAGAAAGUUAAUCAUGAGAUUAUAGAAUGUUUCUCCUCCUCAGUACUUUACCACCACAUCAAUACAGCCCCAGUAUAAUAA